ACAAAUAUGUCGGAAUUGGUAGACGAGGCUCACUUAGGAUGAGUUGCUAUUUAAUAGCUUAAGGGUUCAAGUCCCUUUAUUUGUA